rnacentral:rRNA from 1 species
CGCCAGCCCGCUCAGAAACUCAAAGGAAUUGACGGGACCCCGCACAAGCGGUGGAUCAUGUUGUUUAAUUCGAUGAUACGCGAAGAACCUUACCAGGUCUUGACAUCCCCCGCGAUGCUUUAGAGAUAAAGCGGAGGUAUUCGGGGAGACAGGUGGUGCAUGGUUGUCGUCAGCUCGUGUCGUGAGAUGUUGGGUUAAGUCCCGCAACGAGCGCAACCCUUGUGUUUAGUUGCAAACAGGUCAAGCUGUGCACUCUAGACAGACUGCCGUGGACAACACGGAGGAAGGUGGGGAUGACGUCAAAUCAUCAUGCCCCUUAUGAUCUGGGCUACACACGUGCUACAAUGGCCGGUACAACGGGCAGCGAAGGAGCGAUCCGGAGCGAAUCCUAAAAAGCCGGUCCCAGUUCGGAUUGCAGGCUGAAACUCGCCUACAUGAAGUUGGAGUUGCUAGUAAUCGCGAAUCAGAAUGUCGCGGUGAAUGCGUUCCCGGGUCUU